rnacentral:lncRNA from 1 species
GCAUCUUCUUCCUCUUGUCUCUCUCUCUCCUCCAACUCGCCGCAAAACAACCUCGAAAAUACCAAAACUCGCCGGAAACAACCUUCAAACACCAAAACUUGGAGAAAGCGGACGCUUUGACCCGCUCCGCCUCACAGAAACGCGGCCGCGAAACCCGCAUUUCACAAACGCGUGACUCGGUGGCGUUGUGACGUGGUACCUUGAUUUUGGCCGCGAUAGCGCCGGGAGCGGACGCUAUUGACAACAGAGCUAUAUAUAAUUUUCAUUUCAUAAUGUCAGGGCACAAAUAUUCAGAUCUAUUCCUCGCUUCAGUUUUCAGAGUUUCCGAAACUUCGAUAAAGAUAGUUUUUUAAAUUUAAUAAUUAAUAUUUAUUCAGAUCUAUUUCUCCCUUCAGUUUUCUGAGUUUCUGAAACUCUGAUAGAGAUAGUUUUCUGAGUUUCUGAAGCAUGCAUUACAGACCAAGUUGAUGGAUUGUAAUAGGAGGGACGGAGGGCAUGGAGAUAUUGCUGCUAUAAGAAAAUGUUGGUCGAGAAAUCAAGUCUCUUUGGGAACUUAAGAAACUAAGGGCUUGUUUGGUUUGGGAAAACAUCAUAAUGUUUUCUGUUUCUAUCUUCAUUAAUGAAACCACCAUUUGUUUUCACUUAAGUUUCCCAAUUUUCAAAUAUCUAUGCAAGAAAUAAGAAAUGGUUU